rnacentral:tRNA from 1 species
GGGUCCGUAGCUCAGCUUGGAUAGAGCACGAGCGUCCUAAGUUCGGGGUCGGGGGUUCAAAUCCUCCCGGAUCCG